AUGGCACUAAGCUUUGCACAGCUGAAAAAGGAUGGAGCAGAGCCCUGCCAAGUGAGCCAGUCCCUGCAGUGGGAACGGGAAGCGACUGAGGUUGGCUGGUGGAUGAAACUGGAUGGACACCAACAGCAUAAGCCCAUGAAAAAAUAUCUUCAGCAGUGCUGUGUGUGCACCAAGGCUGGAGCUUGUUCUGUGGCUCGGGAUGUUGGGAACAGACUGUGCUUUCUGCCUCUCCUUAUUCUUCAGAAGUCACUUUCAGCAAUGAGCAUUGAUGUGCAGUAGGCUCUGCUGGGCAUGCUGGCAGCAGUGAUUCUCAACUGAGUCACAUGAUCACAGAUGGUACCUGUUCAUGUUUCAUGCUUAUCCUGGAAGCUUGUUUCACAGGAUCAUCCCAAAAUGUUGACAAUGACUGUGUUUUUAAUGCAGAAAUAUUAUUAUAGUGCCUGCAAAGCUGUCUGUGAUGCUGAAAGUCAUGUACCAGCUGCUUAUGUGAAGCUCUGCUUUAAGACAACUUGAUUUAAUUUCCAGGUCAUAUCCUGAGUAGUAAAGGUGUUUGCUGUAUUUAUUCUCUCUUUCCAAGGGAAUAUCUUGCAGCUGUACACAGCUCUUCUCAGAAUAAACUUUCAUAGGACACAAUGGGGAAAUUUGGGAGUUAUGUUUAAUAUAUUUAUGGUUACUUUUAUUCAUAUGCAUAAAAUGCUUUGCAGGCAUUUACAGUGCAUUUUCAGAUCCUGCUCCUAAAAUAAGAGAGUGUUAUAUCUAACAAGCUUGAAGGAAGCAGAGUAAAGGUAAAAGAAGGCAAAGGUUUUUGCUCUCGUCUGCAGAUGGAGUCAUUAGGCAUUGACAUAUGGAAUCUGAUGCUUUUCUUUGUGCCUGAAAGUUUGUCUACACUGCUGAUGACCUGGGGAAUCACUAAAUAAUAACUUCACUAUGCUUGGUAAUAAUAAAGAUACUCUUAUCUGUACUUAUUGGGAGAAUGCCACGGGAGUGUGCAUGAUGGGAAAGUUGAACAAACUAGCCAAUAAAUCUCUAGGUUUCAGGGGGUGCUAGGUACGUGAAGAUGACUCUUAUCUGUACUUAUUGGGAGAAUGCCACUGGAGUGUGCAUGAUGGGAAAGUUGGUUUCAGGGGGUGCUAGGUACGUGAAGAUAUGAAGGAAGCACUCUGAAGUCUCAAGUUGAAUUUAGCAGUAGAAUUUAUUCUCACUGGAUGUUGUAGGUGACCAAGAGUAUAAAUUGUAUUAGGUAUUCAAGUCCAUUGAUG
rnacentral:lncRNA from 12 species